AAAUCAAGCAUCAGACAUUUCUCAAUUAAAUCUUUUAAUCAUUCCCAAGCUUCAUAUAAUGUUUCAUCCUCUAACUGCCAAAAAUACGUGAUAUCAUUUCUAAGCUU
rfam:Gossypium hirsutum cultivar TM-1 chromosome 8, whole genome shotgun sequence